GACGAACGCUGGCGGCGUGCUUAACACAUGCAAGUCGAACGGAAAGACCCUGCUUUUGUGGGGUGCUCGAGUGGCGAACGGGUGAGUAACACGUGAGUAACCUGCCCUUGACUUUGGGAUAACUUCAGGAAACUGGGGCUAAUACCGGAUAGGAGCUCCUGCUGCAUGGUGGGGGUUGGAAAGUUUCGGCGGUUGGGGAUGGACUCGCGGCUUAUCAGCUUGUUGGUGGGGUAGUGGCUUACCAAGGCUUUGACGGGUAGCCGGCCUGAGAGGGUGACCGGCCACAUUGGGACUGAGAUACGGCCCAGACUCCUACGGGAGGCAGCAGUGGGGAAUAUUGCACAAUGGGCGGAAGCCUGAUGCAGCAACGCCGCGUGCGGGAUGACGGCCUUCGGGUUGUAAACCGCUUUCGCCUGUGACGAAGCGUGAGUGACGGUAGUGGGUAAAGAAGCACCGGCUAACUACGUG
rnacentral:rRNA from 1 species